CCAGAGUAGGUCACAACUGGACCUAAUGGUCAGGGGUCCCUUUACCCUUUACCUAGGACCUGAAGCAGGGCAUUAGAGGGGUGGGACAGGGAAAAGUUGAUCAUGGAUCCACUGAAUCCUGAGGCAAUCUAUUUGUGAAAUUCAUAUAUUGCCACAUGUAUUCUGAACCAGUCGUCUCUCUUCCCUUGUUUGUAGGUUGAUUUGGUUCUGUUCCUUUCUGGGAUGCACACAUUCCAUUUGAAUGUGCGAACCAAUUCUCUUGUAUCUGAGAUUUGUUUAAGUUGAAAGCAAGUGAGAUUAAAGAUCUGUUUGUGCCAUUUGCUCUGUGAUGGUUUGCUUAUUCAUUCGUACAAGGCACCACUUGAUGUUACAGUGAUGAACUUGCAUGUGUGAUCAAGACCAGAUAUUUUUAAAAGAAAGAAAUAUGCUCUGUUCCUGAUCUGGGAGAAGGGGAAGCCUUUGGCAUUGUUUUCAGUUAAGGCUCUGAUUUGAUUUUGAAAUUCAUAUUUCUAUGGAUUUUGGCUGGGUUUUUUUUUUCCAAACUGCUAACAUAAAUUUCUAUCCGAUUUUUAUUUUUUGUAGACUAGCUUGUAGCAGUGGGCAGGAACCAAGGUGUGAAUGUAGAUGGGAAAGAAGUCAAUGUGUGAAAAAUUGAAAUGACAGAUAUGGUUGAACAAGCUUUAGACUGACUCUUUGUUCCUCCUGAUACAGCAAAGAAAUUGAAUAUCUGCUUGAUGUGGAGAUAGAGAAGCCUUUCUACAUACGAAAGAAGCAGCUGUGUUUUGCCAACUAUUUUUUUAUAUAAAAAACCCCACAACGAGUCUCUUUAAAGUCAGCAUUUCAGCAAGGUGGGGGCUAAUCAUGUUCUAGCCAGUGCAGCCUGAAUACAAAUGCGUAUUUUUAACAAUGUGCUGACCUGCCAUCCCAAGCUAUAAGUAAUCUCAUUUUCACAGCAAUCCUACCUGGGGCCAAUGUACUCUCUCUCUCUCUCUCCCCCCCCCCCAACCUUUUUAGAGUUGCCCCCAAAACUUCAUCCAUAGAUAAAUAAGAAGCAAAUUUGUGGCUUCCAUUUCAGGUGAACCGCCUGAAGAGCUUCAAGGCAACACUUGUUUGAAUCUGCAGCUAGCUAGGUUGCUACAGGAUUUUGCUUCAAGUGGAAUUCAAGGAGAAGGUGUUAAGUUCCUCCUCAGACAAAACCUCUGAGGAAUUUCAAGUGAAGCCAAAGGCCUUUUGAUAUGACGAGCAGAUUUCCCCCCCAUGAACGGGUAGGUUGUAAGGCCAGUUAGUGAGGUAUUGUUUCUCUCUAGACAUCAUCUGUUAUUACAUUUGGGGACUGGAACUGACUUUAUAUUUGUACUUUAGGGUCCAUUUGGUGCAAUAUAAGUGGAGCCAUACUUUCUAAUUGUAAUAAUGGGUUUCAUUGCUAUACCAUCGCUUUUUAGCCUCCCGAAUGGAAGCUUUGAGGCCCCUGCUUGAAUACCCUUGCAGUCUAUAGGUUGGAUAUGGGAGGACUUUUGGAGCCAUGUAGAUCAACAGCAUGGUUCUAACCCUGUCAGAAGUAAGUGCCACAGCUCAGUUGUAGAGCACCUGCAGAAGGUCACAGGUUCCAUCUCUGGCAUCUCCAGACAAGGCUGGGAGGAAGGCUCUUGCACAAAACCCCGGAGAGCUGCUGCCAGGCAGCAUGGACAACACUGAGCCAGAUGGGCCAAUGGUCUGACUCAGCAGAAGGCAGCUUCCUACAACCCUAUUGAACUAAAUGAGAUUUCUCACAGCUGAGUGAGUUCAGUGAGCACUGUGUGAGCAUAUGUGUGUAGGGUUGCACUGUAAAGAAAGCUGAAGGGACAGUAUUCAUUGCAUAUAAGGAAGGUGUCACCAGAACAUAGACACUGUGCAUCAAACAGGAGAUUUAAGCAUUUGCUCUACCACUGAGCUGCGUGGAUUUGGGAUGCAUAUUUUGAAGUUGUGCAUAAGAUACUGAAAGUGGUCCUCUUCUAGAAUUUAGUUUUAAAAGAUCUGGAGAAACUGAAAGGAGAAACACAGUGUGCCACAAUCAACUGUGUGUGUGUGUGCAAAAAACCUGGAUGCACAGUUCCAAAAUAUAAGAUAAAAUAAAAUAAAACAAAACCUACAUACAGCAACAGUGUUUUGUGUUGUGUAGGCUCCUUUAAUGUAAGUAAUGGGCCCCGCCUGCUAGCCUGCUCCCUAAAAUAUCACUGGUUAGCUCAUUUCUAUAUAUAAGGUGUCUACAGUCUGCAUAUGCUUUAGAUACCUAUUACAGUGGUACCUCGGGUUACAUACACUUCAGGUUACGGACUCCGCUAACCCAGAAAUAGUACCUCGGAUUAAGAACUUUGCUUCAGGAUGAGAACAGAAAUCGUGUUCCAGUGGCGUGGCGGCAACAGCAGGAGGCCCCAUUAGCUAAAGUGGUGCUUAAGGUUAAGAACAGUUUCAGGUUAAGAACGGACCUCUGGAAUGAAUUAAGUACUUAACCCGAGGUACCACUGUAGGUCCAUGAAUUACCAUGUCACAUAUAUUCAACACAAAAAACAGUGACAAUUUGUUGUUGGCAAAGGACAGCUGGACAUAUAAAGGGCCCCAUUACCAUCAGUAGCUUAGGGCCUCAUCAAACCUAAAUCCGGCCCUGUGUGUGUAUACACACACACAGUAUGCACACAAAUACACAUAAGUCUCAGAACUGGAAAUGGUUGCUCCAGUCUUCUACAUGCAAUCCCUGGGCAAUCACAACAAAUUUCACAGAUGUACAUUUAAUGCUGGCUGUGUGAGUGAUUCACUGAGAGCAUUUUUCCCAAUUCUUUCACCAGCUAAUGAGGAGAGGAGAAGAUUCACCGUCAGAGGGUUGUUGUGUGUUUUUUAACUAAUCUAAUAGCAAACUGUAAAGGGAAGGUUCAGUAGUUUCCAAUCCAGCCACCCAAUCGCAGCGUCCCUGAUAAAAGUGAUAAAUAGUUAUAAAAUCCAACAUGGCAUCAAACUGCAAAGCUGAACAUUAAUCUAUGUCAGUAAAUUGUCAUUCAGUAAUGUCACUCAGGGAAUUAGAUUAUACAUAUUUGUGCAGAGGUAUGUAUAAGGUAUAUAUUUACAGCUCUAAGCUCAUCAAAUGCUAUUCGGGAAAAAGCAACAUAAAACCACUGGCUUAAGGAAGAUUGUGAGGAAGGGGAUUUCUUCAGCUGAUUGAAGAAAAUCUGAGUUUGUGCAUUCAGAUCUGUGCAUUCUUUAUAAAAUUCCAGGGACACCUGCUGCUUUCAUCUGCUGCCUCUGCUUCUUCCAUUCCCCCCUUCCUUUUUGUUCCUAAAGAAAGUGCAAUUUGCUUUAAACAUACAUAAUACUAAAUGGAGGAGGUUCUUAGCAUUUAGGCAUGAAAGUAACUUUCCUUGGAUCAGCAAGACUUGAUGGAAGUGUUAGAUUUCAGUUACAAAUAAAACAAAACAUAUUUUCCCCAUAGCAGAUGAAUUGAAGUUGGGCUAUUACAAUCUUUUAUCAGUGGCAAAAGGGAAUGAUUACCUAUGCUGUCCAGAAGAGUAUUUUACUGCAAUGCAAAAGUUAUUAUAGAGUAGAAUUUGGCAAUUUAUGUUUAUAUGUCAUACUCCAAGUUUGUUGGCAUAUGCAUGUGUGCAUGCACAUUUGAUUGUGCUUGUAUCUAUGGCACACACAAACAUAUAUGCUCGUUUAUUUCUUUCUAACUGAAUUGCUUCUUAGUAUUUGGGAAAGAAGCUGAUUCCCAUCAGCCAUAAAGGACACACUCUGGUGAUUUUGGCACUCUCCUCUUGGAUAAUGGAAGAACAACAGUCUCCAUUAUAUUGACUUCCUCAGCUGCAGUUGCUGUUGAUCAGAGGCAGCAGAGGAGCUAGCUGUCAUACUGUUAUGGCACCUGCAGUACUGAUUUUCUGUCCAUCAAAACCCUGAUACACGUGGCUUUUUUAAGAAAAGGAAAAAGGGAGCUCUAAUCUGAAAAUACCAACUACAAAAUAGAAAAAAUAAUUCAAAAUCAUCUUGUAGCUCUUACAGUGGAGAAGUCAGUAUUUUCCCAGAUUGACUAGAGACCUGAAGUCCUUAGUGUGUUGCUAUACACUGCAACAUUUUGCCUUUCUGAAAGUCUUUCCUCAACAUUCUGUUACACAGUCACACUACCAAAGCAACAGAACAUAGGAGGGAGCUUUUCAGGUGAAUGGGGGCAUUGUUAUGCAGAUAAGAGUAUACUACUUCCUCAAUGGCAGCAGUCACUGGGGCAAGGGUUAGGCUUAGUUCCAGCCAUAUCAUAUCCUUGAGUUACUCACCUUUGCCUUUUCCCAUACAAAUUAAGAGAAAGCUACUCACCAGUGUUAGAAAUUGAGCUAUGAAAGCUAUGAGCUAAAUGGCACCUUAAACCUCGGUUAUGGGUGCAACAACAAAAUGUCUAGGAGCACUUUUUAAUAACAUGAAUGCAAAGCUGGAAAUGAAUGAACUGCAGCUAAAAUAUUAUGUUCCUUUUUCACAUGGUCUAGUCCUUCCCCUGCUCACCACCUUAAUAUUCUUAAGAGGGUCUCUUCUCCAGUCUUUAGAGAGUAGCUGGAAGUGGGAAGGCAGAAAAAGGUCCUCCUUUUCUUCCACUGCACAGUUUUAAUCUGAAAUCUUAGGCACAGUACUGCACCCAGUGCUCAGAAACUGCUUGCGCUAAUGAAAUUCCCUGUUGCAAAAUGCGCCUAGAACAAUGGGAGUUUAGAACACCGCUACUCACUACAAUGGAGGAAAAGAAAUUGCUACUCUUAGGGGUACCAUUGCAGAGAAGGCAGGAAUACCCACUUGAAUAAAAUAUUGGGGGAGCCCAGGUAAGUCCCACCUGCAUAAUAAAUCACAUGAUGUGACACACAAAAACUAUUUCAAUGGCAAUGCUCCUAUGAGAGAGGGCAGCUCCUAAUCUCCACCUUCACUGCUAAGUGACCAAGCCCUGCCUAAUGAAGAUCCUUGAAUAACUGUAAUUAAUCUCUAUAGGCAGAGAAGAAUUUCUCCAAUGGGUACCCUACAUGUCAAUUUAAAAUAUCUGAUUAAAAUAUAAAUGCCUAUGGGCUUACAUGUCUAGCUGUGGUGGACUGCUGACAGCUGUUCAGAAAAGCAAGAAUGAGGAGGCAUAAAAAUGAAUUUCUAAAGUUCUUUCUUACAUCAAUUUAACAGUGCUGGCCAAACCAAAAAAUUAUUGCGAAGAUUUUCAUGUGGUGAUUUAUUCUCUUCUUCUCAAAUAAUUGCCUUAUUUUAAAAAAUGUUUGAUGUUUUAUCGUGUUUUUAAUAUUCUGUUGGGAGCCACCCAGAGUGGCUAGGUCAACCCAGUCAAAUGAGUGGCAUCAUCAUCAUUUUAGUAGUAGUAGUAUUAGUAGUAGUAUUGAUACAAAACUUUUUGCAGGCCAGGAGUUAUUCGUUUUUAAAGCUAGAAUGCUAUUUUAAUUAAUAUGUUGCAUUGCAAAUUGCUCUAGCAUUGCUCUAAGAUAGGGUUGGGGAACCUAUGAUGCUUCAGAGGCCAUUGUACUCCAACUCCCAACAGCCCCAACUAACAUAGCUAAUGCUAAAGGAUGAUGGGACUACUUCCAACUACUUCUAGAGGGCCGCAAGUUCUCCAUACCCGCACUUAAGGAAAGGAAGACUGUAACUGUGUGUACAUCAUACCUUUAAAGCACAACCCUUCCCCCAAACCAUCCUGGGAACUGUAGUUUGGUAAGGGUGCUGGAGUGAACUUCAGUUCCCAAGAUUCUUGAGGGCAGGUGCUUUAAACGUAUAGUGUGUAUACAGCCUAACAGUUCUUCAGUCAGAUCCUCAAGGUGAAAGGCUCUGGAAAGUCUCCUCUAGGCUCCAGUGUUAGUUACAUUUCUGCUGCAGAUGGCUUACUCUGGGACUUGGGAGCAGGCCAGCCACAGUCUUGAUUUGUACAGAAAGGAUAAUUUUUGUGCUUCAUCAUCUAUGGGUUUUCAUAUAUCUGCCAAAUCCUCUGCCCUCCCACAUACUGUUGUGACCUAGUACAGUUAAAUUAUUGUCAUCUUACCCUCUUCAGGAUGUAUCUCAAAGAGUACUUCACAUCCCACACGAGCCUCCCUUUCUAAACGAAAACACCACACCGACGGGUCAUAUUUAAAACACAACAUCUCAGACUUAGGCACCUCUCUGUCUCAAACAUUGCCAGGGAUGAAGGCGCUGCUAGGAGGCUGACCCAGUUCUGCCAAUUAGUGCCUUGAAGAAAAAUUUCUCUUCCAUUCUUUUCGGUCCCUAAUGUUAUGCAUCUGGAUACAUUGCCAAGUUUAAAAGAGGUGAGCUAGAUGUGCUUAAAGUAUUAAUCAGACAUCCACUCCAGUGUGUUAUGAUAAAAAUAGUUCCCACAGAGGAAAAAGGGACAUAGUACUAAUUACCACAUUACAAAUUACUAUAUCUGACUCAAUUCACACAUAAAAGCUGUGUAAGUUAGGCUAUGCCUACACUUUGUUGAUUGAUUGAUAUCCGAUGAAAGUCCCCCUGAUUCAGGCACCUGCCUGAACACUGAAGACCUUAAAAUGCAGGGCGGGGGGGGGGGGCAGACAAAAGUUGAGUUUGUCAAAGCAUCAAUGACACAUUGGGCAAUAGAUAAAGGACAUAAUAUAGAUUUCAAUCUCUGGGAAAAACUUUGGAAGAGUGAUCUGAUGUUUACAGCAUGUUAUCCCUUGAAGGAGAACUACCUGAAAAUGAUUCACAGAUGGUAUUUAACUCCAAGAAGGCUUUCUAAAAUGUAUAAGCAGUGCCGGAUUUACAUAUAAGCUAAACAAGCUAUAGCUUAGGGCCCCCCAAAAAAUUUAAAGAAAAAAACCUGGAUGUACAUUUCC